rnacentral:rRNA from 1 species
AGCUCAAAUUUGAAAGCUGGUACCUUCGGUAUCCGCGUUGUAACCUCGAGACACGUUUUCCGUGCGGCGCUAUGGACAAGUUCCUUGGAACAGGACAUCGUAGAGGGUGAAAAUCCCGUACUUGCCAUGGAUGUACCGUGCUUUGCGAUACGUGCUCUAAGAGUCGAGUUGUUUGGGAUUGCAGCUCAAAAUGGGUGGUAGACUCCAUCUAAAGCUAAAUAUCGGGGAGAGACCGAUAGCGAACAAGUACCGUGAGGGAAAGAUGAAAAGCACUUUGGAAAGAGAGUUAAAAGUACGUGAAAUUGUCGAAAGGGAAGCGCUUGAAGUCAGCCAUGCCGCUCAGGACUCAGCCUGGCUUUUGCUUGGUGUAUUUCCUGGGUAGCAAGUCAGCAUUGGUUUGGAUCGUCGGAGAAGCAUAGUCGGAAUGUGGCGCCCUCGGGCGUGUUAUAGCCUUCUAUUGGAUACGACGAUCUAGACCAAGGAACGCAGCGCGCCUUAUGGCGGGUCUUCGGACACCUUCGCGCUUAGGAUGCUGGCGUAAUGGCUUUAAGUGGCCCGU